rnacentral:rRNA from 1 species
GAUGAACGCUAGCGGCAGGCUUAAUACAUGCAAGUUGAGGGGCAGCAUGAUAUACGCGAGUAUAUUGAUGGCGACCGGCGGACGGGUGAAUAAUAGGUAGGAGACCUACCUCAUACAGGGGGAUAGCAUAGAGAAAUCUGUGGUAAUACCCCAUGAGGUUAUAUGAAUAGAGGCAUAUAAUCAAAGCAUAAGCGAUUAUGCGGUAUGAGAGGGGCCUACUGACCAUUAGCUAGUUGGUGAGGUAAGGGCUCACCAAGGCGAAGAUGGUUAGGGGUUUUGAGAGAGAGACCCCCCACAUUGGAACUGAGAGACGGUCCAGACUCCUACGGGAGGCAGCAGUAGGGAAUAUUGGGCAAUGGGCGAAAGCCUGACCCAGCCAUGCCGCGUGAAGGAAGACGGCCUUAUGGGUUGUAAACUUCUUUACUACGCGAAUAGAGGUUAGUACGAGAUACUAAUAGGAAGGUAGUGUAGUAAAAAGCAACCGGCUAACUCCGUG